CUCGCUUGCUGAGUUGUUGUGUAGAUUCUCUUGUGAUAAUGUGAUUUUAAUUAAUAAUUUAAUUGUGAAUUAAAUAAUUAUAUACAAUUUGAAGCUAAACCUACUAUCAUUCUGGCAGCUAAUUAUUGAAGUACCGGAUGAACUGGAUGAACUCUUCUAGAUAGCUGGGGCUGGAGAUACAUGACAACAUUAAUUUCUCAGUGCAAUGCAUCGAUGCUGAUAUGAGCUGCAGGACAUCCUCAUGUGACUUGAGUCAUCGACCAGAGCCUUCAAGUGUGGCUGUUGACAGCUGGUAUGAAUGAGAUUGGAGGAGGUGGAUGCCUGGAUGCUGAUGUGAGCUGGGCGGGCAUCGUGACGUCACUCCACCCUUCUGUCGUCGCCCGAAGCCUCCAAGUAGGGCAUGACAGGUUGAACGAGUAGUUGAUAAGGUGGUCCAGCCUUCAACCUCUCCCCCCACCACCAUCUCACCACUGAGGGAUGAAGUUCCAGACUGGUUCCAAUCAGUGAGCAGAGUGAAAGGAGAGGAGAAGAGCACAGCGAGCGAAGUGAGUUCUGAGCGGUUGCAUGGAGGAGGAUUGUCAUUUGGUUGGUGUUGCUAGAGUGAGAGAUGAGAUGGAGCGGACGCUGCAUUAUCAGGACAUGGAGGAGAGAGAGAGACAGACAACGCCAAAGGAUGCCUGCUCAAACGGAACAGUGGGAAGAAGAAAAA